AGAGUUUGAUCCUGGCUCAGAUUGAACGCUGGCGGCAUGCCUUACACAUGCAAGUCGAACGGUAACAGGUUAAGCUGACGAGUGGCGAACGGGUGAGUAAUAUAUCGGAACGUGCCCAGUCGUGGGGGAUAACUGCUCGAAAGAGCAGCUAAUACCGCAUACGACCUGAGGGUGAAAGCGGGGGAUCGCAAGACCUCGCGCGAUUGGAGCGGCCGAUAUCAGAUUAGGUAGUUGGUGGGGUAAAGGCCCACCAAGCCAACGAUCUGUAGCUGGUCUGAGAGGACGACCAGCCACACUGGGACUGAGACACGGCCCAAACUCCUACGGGAGGCAGCAGUGGGGAAUUUUGGACAAUGGGCGAAAGCCUGAUCCAGCCAUGCCGCGUGCGGGAAGAAGGCCUUCGGGUUGUAAACCGCUUUUGUCAGGGAAGAAAAGGUUCUGGUUAAUACCUGGGACUCAUGACGGUACCUGAAGAAUAAGCACCGGCUAACUCUGUGCCAGCAGCCGCGGUAAUACGUAGGGUGCAAGCGUUAAUCGGAAUUACUGGGCGUAAAGCGUGCGCAGGCGGUUAUGCAAGACAGAGGUGAAAUCCCCGGGCUCAACCUGGGAACUGCCUUUGUGACUGCAUGGCUAGAGUACGGUAGAGGGGGAUGGAAUUCCGCGUGUAGCAGUGAAAUGCGUAGAUAUGCGGAGGAACACCGAUGGCGAAGGCAAUCCCCUGGACCUGUACUGACGCUCAUGCACGAAAGCGUGGGGAGCAAAUAGGAUUAGAUACCCUAGUAGUCCACGCCCUAAACGAUGUCAACUGGUUGUUGGGAGGGUUUCUUCUCAGUAACGUAGCUAACGCGUGAAGUUGACCGCCUGGGGAGUACGGCCGCAAGGUUGAAACUCAAAGGAAUUGACGGGGACCCGCACAAGCGGUGGAUGAUGUGGUUUAAUUCGAUGCAACGCGAAAAACCUUACCUACCCUUGACAUGCCAGGAAUCCUGAAGAGAUUUGGGAGUGCUCGAAAGAGAGCCUGGACACAGGUGCUGCAUGGCCGUCGUCAGCUCGUGUCGUGAGAUGUUGGGUUAAGUCCCGCAACGAGCGCAACCCCCGUUGUUAGUUGCCAUCAGGUAAAGCUGGGCACUCUAGCGAGACUGCCGGUGACAAACCGGAGGAAGGUGGGGACGACG
rnacentral:rRNA from 1 species